rnacentral:rRNA from 1 species
UACGGAGGUGGCAAGCGUUGUUCGGAUUCAUUGGGCGUAAAGGGUGCGUAGGCGGCGCGGUAAGUCGGGUGUGAAAUCUUGGAGCUUAACUCCGAAACUGCAUUCGAUACUGCCGUGCUUGAGGACUGGAGAGGAGACUGGAAUUUACGGUGUAGCGGUGAAAUGCGUAGAUAUCGUAAGGAAGACCAGUGGCGAAGGCGGGUCUCUGGACAGUUCCUGACGCUGAGGCACGAAGGCCAGGGGAGCAAACGGG